GGACUUCGGUCUGGUGGCGAGUGGCGAACGGGUGAGUAAUACAUCGGAACGUGCCUGGUAGUGGGGGAUAACUACUCGAAAGAGUGGCUAAUACCGCAUGAGAUCUACGGAUGAAAGCAGGGGAUCGCAAGACCUUGUGCUACUAGAGCGGCCGAUGGCAGAUUAGGUAGUUGGUGGGAUAAAAGCUUACCAAGCCAACGAUCUGUAGCUGGUCUGAGAGGACGAUCAGCCACACUGGGACUGAGACACGGCCCACACUCCUACGGGAGGCAACAGUGGGGAAUUUUGGACAAUGGGCGCAAGCCUGAUCCAGCAAUGCCGCGUGCAAGAUGAAGGCCUUCGGGUUGUAAACUGCUUUUGUACGGAACGAAAAGCUUCGGGUUAAUACCCUGGAGUCAUGACGGUACCGUAAGAAUAAGCACCGGCUAACUACGUGCCAGCAGCCGCGGUAAUACGUAGGGUGCAAGCGUUAAUCGGAAUUACUGGGCGUAAAGCGUGCGCAGGCGGUUUUGUAAGACAGAGGUGAAAUCCCCGGGCUCAACCUGGGAACUGCCUUUGUGACUGCAAGGCUAGAGUACGGCAGAGGGGGAUGGAAUUCCGCGUGUAGCAGUGAAAUGCGUAUAUAUGCGGAGGAACACCGAUGGCGAAAGCAAUCCCCUGGGCCUGUACUGACGCUCAUGCACGAAAGCGUGGGA
rnacentral:rRNA from 1 species